UGCAAGUCGAGCGGAAACGAAGAGGUGCUUGCACCUCUGGCGUCGAGCGGCGGACGGGUGAGUAAUGCUUGGGAAUAUGCCUUAUGGUGGGGGACAACAGUUGGAAACGACUGCUAAUACCGCAUGAUGUCUACGGACCAAAGUGGGGGACCUUCGGGCCUCACGCCAUAAGAUUAGCCCAAGUGGGAUUAGCUAGUUGGUGAGGUAAUGGCUCACCAAGGCGACGAUCCCUAGCUGGUUUGAGAGGAUGAUCAGCCACACUGGGACUGAGACACGGCCCAGACUCCUACGGGAGGCAGCAGUGGGGAAUAUUGCACAAUGGGCGCAAGCCUGAUGCAGCCAUGCCGCGUGUGUGAAGAAGGCCUUCGGGUUGUAAAGCACUUUCAGUAAGGAGGAAAGGUUAAGUGUNAAUAGCACUUAGCUGUGACGUUACUUACAGAA
rnacentral:rRNA from 1 species